AGCAAGUGCAAGUUCUACUUCUCCCGUGUCCGGAAGGCAGAGGCAAACUCAUCUCGGAGAGUUUCUGAACUUGUGUGGAAAUCAGGAUGUGUGGGAAUUGAAUUUACUCAAGUGCCAACUUACCUUAAACUCCUAAUCCUCCAGCACACCCCCGCAACUGCUGCGAUUAUAGGUCUGCACCAUUAUACCCGGUCUUUUAGGGCCUCUUAAAAAGAGGGAGCAAAUGAGAGCGAUGGCCCCGUGGGUGAAGUUGUUUGCCACUGUAUCAACAAUGCUAGCCUGACAACCUGAGUUGUGGAAAGACAAAAUGAAGGCCACAGAGAUGUCCUCUGACUUCCACACUGGUGCAGAUGGCAAAUCCACCCACCUACGUGUCACACACACAUAACAACAACAAUAAUAAUAAUAGGCAUAUCCACCCACAUACAUAUCACAAUAAUAAUAAAUAAAUUUUAAUUUUAAGAGAGCUGGAGAUGUCUCAGUGAUUGAGUGCUAGCCUAGUAUGCCCUGAUUUAAUCUUCAGCACUACAAAAAGAAAACAAAACAAAAAAAAAGACAUACUUUCACAAAGCCAUUCUUGACCAGCCACUCUUUUCUGUUUCUAGCUUUGUGGUUUUGCCUCGCAUAGCAGUCUCUGACUAGAGUGUCUGCUUUUCCCUCACUUCACUUGGCUAUGUCAGGACAUAACAAUCACAUAAUAAAUAUUCCUUUGGUCUAGCUAUGAUCCCAGUACUUGGGAGGCUUAGGCAAGUCUCAAGGAUUACCACUAGAAAGAACCUUUCUCAGAAGGGGAGGUUGGGUGGGGAGGUGGUGUUCUUUAUUUGUUUGCUUGAAGUAGUAAUAAAACAGUCUAUUGGCUCGAAACUUUUUGAGAAAGAGAGAGAAAGCAGAGAGAGAGAGAGAGAGAAAGAGAGAGAGAGAGAACCUGCCCUGGAGAAUGAGAGGACUUUCCGAGUUUGAGGACAGCCUAGUCCGCUACAGAGUGAGUUCCAGGAUAACCAAGGCUACACAGAGAAACCCUGUUAGGCUAGGGGAUGACUCAGUGGAUACAAGCUCUUGCCCAACCCAUUUGACCUGAGUUCAAUCCCAAGGACCCACAUGGAGAAAGGACAGAACUCCCAAAGGUUGUCUUCUGACCUCUACGUAAGCACCAUGGCAUUUAUGCAUACAGGCAGGCGCGCAAGCACACACACGUAAGUAAAUUUUAAAGGAAUUGAAAGAAUUGGUGGUAUGUGCCUGUAAUCACAGCACCCAAGAGAUUGAGGAAGGAGAAGUGCUGCAAGUUUAUGGCCAGCCUGGGUCACAUAGUAAAGGAUACAUGGUAAAAUCGCUUCAGAUUAAAUCAAUAAACAAGAAAAAACAUUGUGAAGGGAUCUUGAAUUCAGAAAGCUCUAAGAACUACAAUGGCUGGCUUUUUCUGUGUGUUGUCAAGCCAUUGGUGAUGAUCUUAUCUAGACUUGACAAUGAACAUGCUGACAAUCCAGAAGUACAUUACCACCUUAGACCUUGUCCCUGAAUUUGAGAAAAUAUAUUCAGAUCUCUGCUAUCUCUUUCUGUUUGGCUUCUGCUAGAUAUAUCAGACUUCCAGGACCACAUAUCAAAAGCUGCUUUCCUGACACCUCUCCAGACUUGCUGACUCCACAGCAGGGGCCAUCAGCUUAGUUAGAAACUCUAAUCCAGAAACCUUGGAGUUGGGGCUGGAGAGGUGGUUCAUCCAUUAAGAGCGUUUGUUGCUCUUACAAAGACCUACUUUGAGGGCCCAGCACCCACAUAAUGGCUCACAACCACCCAUAACUCCAGUUCUAAGGGAUACAUUCUUCUUACCUCAAAAGGCAUCAGACACAUAUGUGUUACAGACAGAUACAGAUAUAUAUAGAUAUAGAUAUAUAGAUAUAGAUAUGCAAGCAUAAAUUCCGUG
rnacentral:lncRNA from 1 species